UACGGGGGGUGCAAGCGUUGUCCGGAAUCACUGGGCGUAAAGGGCGCGUAGGCGGGAUUGUAAGUCUGGGGUGAAAGUUCGGGGCUCAACCUCGAAUCUGCCUUGGAUACUGCAGUUCUUGAGUUCGGUAGAGGGAUGCGGAAUUCCUGGUGUAGCGGUGGAAUGCGUAGAUAUCAGGAAGAACACCGGUGGCGAAGGUGGCAUCCGGGCCCGAUACUGACGCUGAGGCGCGAAAGCGUGGGGAGCGAACAGG
rnacentral:rRNA from 1 species